GCCCCGAUGGCCCAGUGGUAGCGCAGCCGCCUCGUAAGCGGCAGGUCGCCGGUUCGAAUCCGGCUCGGGGCU
rnacentral:tRNA from 1 species